CCUGAUAUUACCAAGCCGCACUGAGAGCAUCGGGGGCGUUGUGUGGACUGCGUCGGGGAAAGUGACCAUGGCUUUUCCCACCUUAGAGAUAUUGGUGUGUGUGUGUGUGUGUGUCCAUCUAUCCUAACCUGAGCUAACUUCUCUCACCCACACACAUGUAACGUUCCUUUUUAUUAUUUCUGUGUUUCUUUGAGUCUCCCCAAUAAUUGUUUUCUUUUGUAGCUUGCGGUGAAGAGGAGGAUAAUAGCGGUAAUUAAAGGUUUAGUGAUUAUAUGAAAAAGUAUAUUUAUAAGGCGUGUAUUCGUGGGAGUGAUUUAAAAGUCUUGAAACAUUUAUUAUAAAUAGUCUUACUUAUUUCAACUGUGGUUUUCUCUAAUCAGUGGUAAUACGAAUAAUAGGAUUACAUCAUGUUGCGUCAGCCUACCAGUAACUCAUAAGGUGUCAUUCCCUAGCUUAUAAAAUAUGUUAGUAAUUUAGAAUUCAAUUAUUAACUUCAACUAAUGUCCAGCCUAUAUGCUCACCUUGUUAGCCAAUUAUUCCUGCAUUUUUAUUUAAACUCACGGUUCAGUAAAAUUAUUUGUGAAAGAAGAGAGAGAGAGAACUAGCUAAGGUUCCAAUAACUUCAGAGGCCUGUGGGUGUUGAGGGAGAGAGCACAGAAUGGCGUCUCCCUUCCCUCUGGCAACAGAAUGGCGUCUCCCUUCCCUCUGGCAACAGAAUGGCGUCUCCCUUCCCUCUGGCAACAGAUAAAAUUGCUGGUGUUGGUCCCACGUGGAGACAGGCCACAGAGUCUUGGGAAAGUGUUAGCCAUGUAAUGUUUCUUUAGUCAAAUAUAGUCUACUGUGAAUGUGUUGUGGGCAAUAUUAUGGCCGUAGAGAAGUGAUGGAUGAAGGCUGUGACGCUAUUUAGGGAUAUAACGGUGCCCAGAAUCAAUGGUACUCUUGAGGAGUUAUAAAAGUAAUUAUUUUCUUGUGUAUUCGUAGUGUUAAGUAACGGAGUAUAAGUGUAUAUGCCAUACCAGAAUUUCAAGUGCCUUUUCUUUUUUUUUCUAGAUUAACCAC